GACGAACGCUGGCGGCGUGCUUAACACAUGCAAGUCGAACGGAAAGGCCUCUUUCGGGGGGUACUCGAGUGGCGAACGGGUGAGUAACACGUGAGUAACCUGCCCUUGACUUUGGGAUAACUUCAGGAAACUGGGGCUAAUACCGGAUAGGAGCUCCUGCUGCAUGGUGGGGGUUGGAAAGUUUCGGCGGUUGGGGAUGGACUCGCGGCUUAUCAGCUUGUUGGUGGGGUAGUGGCUUACCAAGGCUUUGACGGGUAGCCGGCCUGAGAGUGUGACCGGCCACAUUGGGACUGAGAUACGGCCCAGACUCCUACGGGAGGCAGCAGUGGGGAAUAUUGCACAAUGGGUGGAAGCCUGAUGCAGCAACGCCGUGUGCGGGAUGACGGCCUUCGGGUUGUAAACCGCUUUCGCUCAUGACGAAGCUUUGUGUGACGGUAGUGGGUAAAGAAGCACCGGCUAACUACGUG
rnacentral:rRNA from 1 species